rnacentral:rRNA from 1 species
CCUACGGGCGGCAGCAGUGAGGAAUAUUGGUCAAUGGACGAGAGUCUGAACCAGCCAAGUAGCGUGAAGGAGGACGGCCCUAGGGGUUGUAAACUUCUUUUAUAGGGGAAUAAAAUGUGCCACGUGUGGGAUUUUGUAUGUACCAUAUGAAUAAGGAUCGGCUAACUCCGUGCCAGCAGCCGCGGUAAUACGGAGGAUCCGAGCGUUAUCCGGAUUUAUUGGGUUUAAAGGGAGCGUAGGUGGAUUGUUAAGUCAGUUGUGAAAGUUUGCGGCUCAACCGUAAAAUUGCAGUUGAAACUGGCAGUCUUGAGUACAGUAGAGGUGGGCGGAAUUCGUGGUGUAGCGGUGAAAUGCUUAGAUAUCACGAAGAACUCCGAUUGCGAAGGCAGUUCACUGGACUGCAACUGACGCUGAGGCUCGAAAGUGUGGGUAUCAAACAGGAUUAGAUACCCGAGUAGUC